AUACGGAGGGCGCAAGCGUUGUUCGGAAUCAUUGGGCGUAAAGCGGGUGUAGGCGGCUUGGCAAGUCGGGUGUGAAAUCCCUGGGCUCAACCCAGGAACUGCACUCGAAACUGCCUCGCUAGAGUCUCGGAGAGGGUGGCGGAAUUCCCGGUGUAGAGGUGAAAUUCGUAGAUAUCGGGAGGAACACCAGUGGCGAAGGCGGCCACCUGGACGAUGACUGACGCUCAGACCCGAAAGCGUGGGGAGCAAACAGGAUUAGAAACCCCGGUAGUCC
rnacentral:rRNA from 1 species